rnacentral:rRNA from 1 species
AAUAGAUACCCAGGUAGUCCACGCCGUAAACGAUGAGUGCUAAGUGUUAGAGGGUUUCCGCCCUUUAGUGCUGCAGCUAACGCAUUAAGCACUCCGCCUGGGGAGUACGGUCGCAAGACUGAAACUCAAAGGAAUUGACGGGGGCCCGCACAAGCGGUGGAGCAUGUGGUUUAAUUCGAAGCAACGCGAAGAACCUUACCAGGUCUUGACAUCCCACUGACCGGUAUAGAGAUAUACCUUUCCCUUCGGGGACAGUGGUGACAGGUGGUGCAUGGUUGUCGUCAGCUCGUGUCGUGAGAUGUUGGGUUAAGUCCCGCAACGAGCGCAACCCUUGAUCUUAGUUGCCAGCAUUUAGUUGGGCACUCUAAGGUGACUGCCGGUGACAAACCGGAGGAAGGUGGGGAUGACGUCAAAUCAUCAUGCCCCUUAUGACCUGGGCUACACACGUGCUACAAUGGAUGGUACAAAGGGCUGCAAGACUGCGAAGUCAAGCCAAUCCCAUAAAACCAUUCUCAGUUCGGAUUGCAGGC